rnacentral:rRNA from 1 species
UUUUUUUUAUUUUUAUUUAAAGAAAAAAAAAACACUAACUAGGCUUUUCUUUAGUAACUGCGAAGUCGAAACGGAAAGAGCUCAGCGUCGAAACCGUGUUGGCUUUCGUUGACACGGUAUUGUGACGUAUAGAGGUGAUCAUGUGCGGUUUGCUGGCUUUACGAAUUUCCUUUGACUAGGAAUCCAUAGCGGGUGCGAGACCCGUACGUAUUGCUGGCUUUUCGUACGCGUUCAUCUCUUGGAGUAGGGUUGUUUGAGAUCGCAGCCCUAAGUAGGUGGUAUACUUCAUCUAAAGCUAAAUACGACUACGAAUCCGAUAGCAAACAAGUACCGUGAGGGAAAGUUGCAAAGUACUUUGAAGAGAGAGUUCAAGAGGACGUGAAACCGAUAGGAUCGAAGCAGAUGAAGUUGACGAACGUGUGUUGUAUUCAGGAUCGCUGUCAGCGGUUUGUUUUUCCGGCCGAUGUGGGCCGGCGGCUUUGGUCAAUGCAACGUGUCGAGCGUCGAUGGUGACCCUGCGGAGGGAUAAUCGGUCGGCGUAUGGUGCUUGGUAUGGCUAAGGUUUCGCCGGUCUUAAAGUCAGCGCCUCAUCUGACCCGUCUUGAAACACGGACCAAGGAGUGUAGCGUUUGCGCAAGUCUUAGAGUGUAUCGAAACUUUGAGGCGUAACGAAAGUUAAUGCAGUUUGAUCUGCUGACUUGGGAUGCGUUGUUUCUUGUGGACGGCGUUGGACCAAGGUUUUAUCGCGAUCGCAUGCGGUGCGGUGCAAAUUGAGCGUAAACGGUCCGACCCGAAAGAUUAGAACUACGCCUGAGCAGGAUGAAGCCGGAGGAAACUCUGGUCGAAGUCCGAAGCGUUUCUGACGUGCAGAUCUAUCGUCUGACCCUAGUAUAGGGCGAACUACUAACUAAACGCUUAUUGUAAUGA